GGACGAACGCUGGCGGCGUGCUUAACACAUGCAAGUCGAACGCUGAAGCCUGGCUUUUGUUGGGUGGAUGAGUGGCGAACGGGUGAGUAACACGUGAGUAACCUGCCCCCUUCUUUGGGAUAACGCCCGGAAACGGGUGCUAAUACUGGAUAUUCACUGGCCUUCGCAUGGGGGUUGGUGGAAAGGGUUUUCUGGUGGGGGAUGGGCUCGCGGCCUAUCAGCUUGUUGGUGGGGUGAUGGCCUACCAAGGCUUUGACGGGUAGCCGGCCUGAGAGGGUGACCGGUCACAUUGGGACUGAGAUACGGCCCAGACUCCUACGGGAGGCAGCAGUGGGGAAUAUUGCACAAUGGGCGCAAGCCUGAUGCAGCGACGCCGCGUGAGGGAUGGAGGCCUUCGGGUUGUGAACCUCUUUCGCUCAUGGUCAAGCCGCAACUGUGGGUUGUGGUGAGGGUAGUGGGUAAAGAAGCGCCGGCUAACUACGU
rnacentral:rRNA from 1 species